rnacentral:rRNA from 1 species
AUUGAACGCUGGCGGCAUGCCUUACACAUGCAAGUCGAACGCGAAAGGGGGGCAACUCCUGAGUAGAGUGGCGCACGGGUGAGUAAUGCAUCGGAACGUGUCCUGUAGCGGGGGAUAACCUAGCGAAAGCUAGGCUAAUACCGCAUACGUCCUACGGGAGAAAGUGGGGGAUCGUAAGACCUCACACUAUAGGAGCGGCCGAUGACGGAUUAGCCAGUUGGUGGGGUAAAAGCCUACCAAGGCGACGAUCCGGAGCUGGACUGAGAGGAUGAUCAGCCACACUGGGAAGGAGACACGGCCCAGAGUCCUACGGGAAGCAGCAGUGGGGAAUUUUGGACAAUGGGGGAAACCCUGAUCCAGCCAUGCCGCGUGAGUGAAGAAGGCCUUCGGGUUGUAAAGCUCUUUCGGCCGGGACGAAAUCGCACGCGCGAAUAUCGCGUGUGGAUGACGGUACCGGAAGAAGAAGGACCGGCUAACUACGUGCCAGCCGCCGCGGUAA